GCUGGGCAUAAACUUGCUCUAAAAACCAUUGAUUAGGUAUCUUUUGUGUAGCUCAUGCCCCAAAACCAGAAGGCAGUUGGAAAUGCCCUGAAGUCCUGGAAUGAGACCCUCCACCCCAGGUUGGCUAGUUUGUCUGAGAAACCACCUGCGAUUGACUGGGCUUACUACAGGGCCAAUGUGGCCAAGCCUGGCUUGGUGGAUGACUUUGAAAAGCAGUAUAAUGCCCUGAAGAUCCCUGUGCCUGAGGAUAAACACACAGCCCUGGUGGACAAGAGGAGACGG
rnacentral:lncRNA from 1 species